rnacentral:sRNA from 1 species
GCCAGGCAUGGUGGAGCAUGCCUAUAAUCCCAGCAGCUCGGGAGGCUGAGGCAGGAGGAUCGUGAGUUCAAAGCCAGCCUCAGCAAAAAAGCAAGGUGCUAAAACUGAGUGAGACCCUGUCUCUA